GGUGGUGCAAUGGGUCAGCGCGUCUGGUUGCUAACCAGAAGGCUGGUGGUUUGAGCCCAGCCACG